rnacentral:tRNA from 1 species
AUUUAUAUAGCUUAUAUAAGAGCAUGAUAUUGAAGAUAUCAAGGAGGUUUUAAUCUAUAAAUA